rnacentral:rRNA from 1 species
CAGUAGCCACGGGAAUACAGAGGGUGCGAGCGUUAAUCGGAUUUACUGGGCGUAAAGCGUGCGUAGGCGGCUUUUUAAGUCGGAUGUGAAAUCCCUGAGCUUAACUUAGGAAUUGCAUUCGAUACUGGGAAGCUAGAGUAUGGGAGAGGAUGGUAGAAUUCCAGGUGUAGCGGUGAAAUGCGUAGAGAUCUGGAGGAAUACCGAUGGCGAAGGCAGCCAUCUGGCCUAAUACUGACGCUGAGGUACGAAAGCAUGGGGAGCAAACAGGAUUAGAUACCCCAGUAGUCCCUGUCUCUUAUAC